UCCGAGUUGUCCCCGGCAGUCCCAUUAGAGUCCCCGACUUUACUCGCUGGCAACUAAUGGCAGGGGUUGCGCUCGUUGCGGCACUUAAGCCAACACCUCACGGCACGAGCUGACGACAGCCAUGCAGCACCUGUGUCCUGGCUCCCUUUCGGGCACUCCUCCAUCUCUGGAGGAUUCCAGGCAUGUCAAGGGUAGGUAAGGUUUUUCGCGUUGCAUCGAAUUAAACCACAUGCUCCACCGCUUGUGCGGGCCCCCGUCAAUUCCUUUGAGUUUCAGCCUUGCGGCCGUACUCCCCAGGCGGGAGACUUAACGCGUUAGCUCCGACACCGAAGGGCUCGAUCCCCCCGGCAUCUAGUCUCCAUCGUUUACGGCGUGGACUAC
rnacentral:misc_RNA from 1 species